UGAGCGUCCUAGCGUCCGCGCGCACGGAAUCCUUCCGCCAAACGACCGAACAAAUAAGCUCCCGGCCGGAGCAGGAGUUACAAAGUUGCACGCGGCAGUUUGGAGUGGGGGAGGAGGUUGCGGCUCCGCACCCUAAGGCUUGCGACCUUCGUGGGAUCUUUUCACUGGAGCUCCAAGUUUGCAGACCUGUCCUUGGGCGAGGCCACCAAGGGAUUUCGGAGUUGAUGGAAUUCAUCCCUUUAGAUAAACGGGGAUGGAGAUGGAGAAUAAUAAAAAGUAAUAGGUUGACUUAUUGUGGGUUCAGAUAUCGGGACUUGCGGGAAGAAAAUUUAAUUGGCAACACAAAACCUCCCCCAGAUAAGCUACAUUGCUCGCGAUUAAUUCAUGGUGAAUGGUAAGAAUAUGAGAUUUGCAAAUUAUUUUUGUGCACUUCUGUGACUUUAGCGUGUGUGUGGAGGGAGUUCCUUAAAAAAAAAAAAAAAAACUCUGUCUUCUGGUUGUCUUCCUUGAACCCGGGAAGUUAUAUAAUCAAUCAUCGGAGCGGCACCAGCCCGAGCAGUGCAGCAAAAAUGAAGCUUCGAGGGGUUCGCGCGCCUGGCCUGGGCUCUCAGGCCCCCUCUGGCUGCCCAGCCGUCCAAGGGCGACCUUUCUGGGGAACCCUUGGGGCCAAGCUGCCGCCUCUCCGCUGCGAGCGUUGCGCUUUCAGAAUGGCCUUGAACUCAUUAUGGAACUCAAGCUGGCCUUAAACUCAAGAUGAUCCCUCCUGCCUCAGCCUCCCAGAGUGCUGGAUUACAAGCAUGCACCGCCACAUCUGGCUGCUUUCUCAGUGCUUGAAGAACAUCAGAGUAUGUGUGCUGUGAUACCUGCUCCUAGCAGUAUCAUCGGAGCUGCGCGUAUGGAAGGCCACUCGGUGCCUGACUCUGUUCUGAGCCUUUUAUGUGAAUCAUUCCGUGUAAUCCUCACAUUCAGUUCUCGGAAGUCGGUGCUAUAAUUAUCCGGGUUACAGAUGUGGAAGCAGAGCCACAGGAAAUGAGGGGUGCGACCCUGGAGGAGCUGAGCUGGGAUUUGGACCAGACACUGGCUGCAGAGUCUGCAGUGGACAGUGGAUGCAACCAGCGUGCCCCACCCUUUCUGUACCAGCUGGCCCAGCGGCUCUAUGCUGGCGCCACCCCAAGCAACAGUCCCUUGGAUUGAUUCUUCAUCCUCCCUCCAACCCAGGACCUGCUGCCUGCCUUGACUUGCCCAGAAAGCACAGGGCAAUUAGAAAUGCCAGGGUGUCAGCUGCCCCUGGGGAGUUGGUGGCUAAAUAUCCAGCACUCUCAACUCUCACCUGGCAGGACUCUGAGGUGUGCUCUGUACAGUCCCUGGAGUCAUUUGUGGGACUGAGCCCCAGGUGCCUGCUAUGGUGAUUUGCUUGAUGAAAUAUAGAUUCGUGUUAGCUUCC